CUUGAUGGACCCCAGCCACAGCGGCUCGGCGUCGCCGCGGUCCUGUCCGUACGUGGCGAGCAGCGCCUGGGCCUC
rnacentral:antisense_RNA from 1 species